rnacentral:rRNA from 1 species
GGUGAAAGCUGGCGGCGUGCUUAAGACAUACAAGUCGGACGGCAGUCUUCGGACUGUAGUGGCGCACGGGUGAGUAACGCGUAACUGACCUACCCCAAAGUCGCGGAUAACGAUUCGAAAGAAUCGCUAAUACGUGAUGUGCUGUCAGAUUGUGUUCUGCCAGUAAAGAUUGAUUGCUUUGGGAUGGGGUUGCGUUCCAUCAGCUAGUUGGUGGGGUAAAGGCACACCAAGGCGACGACGGAUAGCCGGCCUGAGAGGGUGGCCGGCCACAGGGGCACUGAGACACGGGUCCCACUCCUACGGGAGGCAGCAGUUAGGAAUCUUCCACAAUGGGCGAAAGCCUGAUGGAGCGACGCCGCGUGAGGGAUGAAGGUCUUCGGAUCGUAAACCUCUGAAUCAGGGACGAAAGACACUUCGGUGGGAUGACGGUACCUGAGUAAUAGCACCGGCUAACUCCGUGCCAGCCGCCGCAGUAAGAC